UUUAUUUUUAGGCUCGCCGGUUGAUUUUUCGCAGGAUGCGACAGUUGUGUGUGAGUGCUUCAGUUCAGAGUUGUAAAAAAAUUGCAUUUGGGCCCAAAAGAGUGGCCUGCUGAGAAUUAAAUGAGGCUGCUUCGCCUAGCGAGCAGCUAGCGAAUCCACUCGCUACUGCUUCGCCUAGCGAGCAUCUAGCGAGCAUGACAGCAUUUGCUUUUUCAAAAAUAGAAUUCCUGGUACAUUCAGUAAGGUUUAACAAUUGGAAUCCCAAUAUGUCACCACAGAAAAAC
rnacentral:lncRNA from 1 species